CAACCAAUAAACCAUAUGUUUGAUCAUUCUUUAGUAACUAGUGUUUUGAGGCGUCAUCCAUCCAAAUUUGUUGGUUGCAUUACGGAGGAGGAGAAGAAGGUGACUACGGUCGAGGAAAAUGGGGAGGAUUGGGAUUGGGAGAGGUGGAAGUAGCAUUUUACGGAGAUUGAAGAACACGAGAAACUUGUUUCUGUCUUAAAGGCACAAUUGAAUGAGGUUAUUUUAAGAGAGGAUUAUGGAGAAGCUGCAAAGCUGAAGUUGGCCAUAACUGGUGCUACAAAAAAGGAUAUUGUUGGAGCGGCAUUGACUAUUAUGAAUAGAGCUAUAGAGGAAGAGCGAUACAGCGAUGCAGCUUUCAUUCGUGAUCAUGUUGGGGCAGGACUGGUCAGUUU